rnacentral:lncRNA from 1 species
CCUUGGAGCCAAUGUCUCGGGCUGGGAAAUACGCUUUCAGUUUGCUUCCACCAGCUUUGUAUUCAUAAUAUGUGACGGGCAUCGUUCACCCAGAGCUUCCUGGCUGCUGACUCCUGGUGGGGAGAAGGUUUGGCUUCUUCUGGUGCUUUUCCUCAGUUGUUGCCACUUGGGAGCUCAGACAAGACUUGUGACCAUUCGGCUUGGACAGGACUGCCUGCAUGUUUCCUUCCACAUGAUUUUCAUCUUUUGGCUCUAUGGGAAGUGAAUGAUACAUGGCCUCGUUCAAGCAGGAGGCGAAGACAAGGCCCUGGGAGAUGCAACCAUCCUGACUAAGAUCCAAGAUCUCCAUCUCCAAGAUGCUCUGAGAGGCCCCGUAGGUCCUGCCGCCAGCUGCCGUGCGGAGAUAGGAAAGAAAACCCUGGUGACAGUCCUCUGAAGGCUUUAUGUUACAGACAAACACAGAAAUGCCACCGAGGUGAGUAUUAGACCUCAUUCCACUCAGCAAAAAAUUCCAGCUGUUGACACUUCUGGAAAAUGACAAACGAAUAUUACAGGCAACAGAGAAUGUUCUGGAAUAACAGUGAAGACAGUGUCAUUGUAGGGACAUAAUAAAGGAAUUUCCUGGGUGUUUAUUCA